GGUCGCAUAGCGCAGUUGGUUAGCGUGCAACCUUCACACUCCGCCUUCGUGGCGCGAAUGGUUGCGGUUGAGGCCCCCGGUUCGAGCCCGGGUGUGAUCA